UACGUAGGGGCUAGCGUUAUCCGGAAUUACUGGGCGUAAAGGGUGCGUAGGUGGUUUCUUAAGUCAGAGGUGAAAGGCUACGGCUCAACCGUAGUAAGCCUUUGAAACUGGGGAACUUGAGUGUAGGAGAGGAGAGUGGAAUUCCUAGUGUAGCGGUGAAAUGCGUAGAUAUUAGGAGGAACACCAGUUGCGAAGGCGGCUCUCUGGACUGUAACUGACACUGAGGCACGAAAGCGUGGGGAGCAAACAGGAUUAGAUACCCUGGUAGUCCCUGAGCGGG
rnacentral:rRNA from 1 species